GAGUUUGAUCGUGGCUCAGAGCGAACGUUAGCGGCGGGCCUAACACAUGCAAGUCGAACGGGCAGUAGCAAUACUGUCAGUGGCGCACGGGUGAGUAACGCGUAGAUAAUCUACCUUCCAGCGGGGGAUAACGUUCCGAAAGGAACGCUAAUACCGCAUAAGACCACGGGGUCCUCGGGCCUUGCGGGAAAAGGUGGCCUCUCCUUGGAAGCUACCACUGGAAGAUGAGUCUGCGUCCCAUCAGCUAGUUGGUGAGGUAAUGGCUCACCAAGGCGAAGACGGGUAGCUGGUCUGAGAGGAUGAUCAGCCACACUGGUACUGGACACGGACCAGACUCCUACGGGAGGCAGCAGUGGGGAUAUUGGGCAAUGGGCGAAAGCCUGACCCUAGCCACGACCGCGUGAGUGAUGAAGGCCUCGG
rnacentral:rRNA from 1 species